UACAGAGGUGGCAAGCGUUGUUCGGAAUUACUGGGCGUAAAGGGCGCGUAGGCGGCCUACUAAGUCAGACGUGAAAUCCCCCGGCUUAACCUGGGAACUGCGUCUGAUACUGGAAGGCUUGAGGAUGGGAGAGGGAUGUAGAAUUCCAGGUGUAGCGGUGAAAUGCGUAGAUAUCUGGAGGAAUACCGGUGGCGAAGGCGGCAUCCUGGACCAUUACUGACGCUGAGGCGCGGAAAGCUAGGGGAGCAAACGGGG
rnacentral:rRNA from 1 species